rnacentral:tRNA from 2 species
GUUCUCUUAGUAUUAAAUAGUACAGUUGACUUCCAAUCAACCAGUUUCGGUACAAACCCGAAAUAGAACA